GUCAGUGAGUUAGGCUGAUUUGUGUUUCUCUGGAGGGACUGGCUGGAGCCAAGCUCGUCUCUUUUGCUUUUCUUGGACUGGAUUGCAAAAAGUCACAAGGCAGUUUAUUUUGUUCUCCAGUUGUGUGUCCUAGAGGGGAAAGACACCUUUUAGUAUGGCUGUAGAGCCACAUCGCCCUGCCUGUGAGUGGAAAACCAGGACACAGUCAGAGAAAAGCUGGGGGAGGACUUGCACCUGACACAGAGAGGUGUCAACUUGAAGGUGUGAUGAGAUGAACAGCCUGAGCUGGGAACAUAAGUGUAGGAGAGAACAUAAACAAGUCUGCAUAAGAAUAAAAAUACAAAAAGCAUGAAGGCAUUGUGUAGCAGGAAGAUCACAUGCUUCUAUUGAUGUCUGGAUUUCCUACAGCUGUCCAAGCAUAGAUUCUCUGUACUUGGCACCAAAUUCAUCUGAGCAGCACCUGAAGAGACACAGGAAGAAGGUACUGGAAUCUGGAGGGAAAGGUCCUAACCUGAUAGUUUGGUCAGCAGUCUGCUGGAGCAUGUGCACUGAAGCAGAACAUUUCUACCAUUGGAAAUCAGAGCUGUCCCUUCUUCUCAGUGGGCCACACAAUUUUCAACUGAAAGAGUUCUCAAACUUGCGGGCCUCAGGGGGUUGCAAGGUGUCCCAAAAUAGAUUUUUCACUUCUGCCAGCUGGAGUGAGCUUUGGAACACUACCUGAUGCUUGGUCUUGAUGAGUUGCUCUUUAUUGACGGUGAGGGUUUUCCACAGUAAGGAAGCCAGAAGCACAUCUGCAACAGUUCUAAUAAAUGCAAGUAUGAGAUUUUUCAGUGCUGAAAUAAGCAAGAGGAGGGAUAGGGAUAAACAGGAAAUAUCCUCCUCUGUUGAAGACUUGUUUGUUUAUUUCUUAUUGUUUUUGGAAAUUGCAUUCAGAAUAUUACAUUCUUUUAUUAUUAUUUUUUUCCUGGAAUGCAGAUUCUCUCUAUUGUUGUUUUAUAACUUUUGAUUUAUAGAAUAAUACAAAGGAUGUUGAAAACUGCACUAUCUAUUAAGAUACAAGAUGAACUCCCAAUAGGCUAGAAUUUCUCUCUAGAUAUGGUACUGGUGGGAAACCCUAGUGACCAACACUAUAUCCUACAGUUUCUUGGUCCUAUAGCUUUAACGCUGUGUCCUGGGCUAUCACAGUGGGAUCUGCUGGCACAAACUCAGUGAAUCCUAAUGAGAAUUUUUACAAAGGUUAGUUUGUUUGUGUGCUGUUGAAUGAUCCUCUCUGCCUGGUUAGUGGGAGACAUUACUGGGAAAGUAAAUGGAUUUUUUUUUUCUGGGCAGUCUGCCUUUAAUGAGUUCUUACUUAUGUGGCAAUGAGAGAGCUGCACGGGUUAAAAUACUCAUUAGACAAUCAGAUUGAUUGACUUCUGUGGCCCAAUAACAUAAUUGUCUUUCUGAAACCAACAGAGAAGGAACAAAUAAAAUUGUACAUAAACAUGGAAAAAUAGUGCAACCCCAAGUGUUACCUAAUAAUUCUUUGUUGGUGGUUUUGUUGUUUUGUUUUUGUUUUUUUGUGAAUAGGAGUUAUAAAGUAUUAUCAAUGUCAGAACUUAAUUAACAUGUAAAAUACGCAACAAACAUAUGCUUGGGUAUAUGCUAUUAACUAAGGCAUAGAGAAAAGAAAUUGGCCAGUUACUGAGACUUGUUUUGUAUGCUCUUGUGUCAAAGUAACAAUUGUAAGGAAGGUUUGUGACCAAGUAUGCUUAGUGCAAGCACUGCCAAAGGAACACUAAAGACCAUCACAAGUUCAAUGAAGCUAAAUGACUCUUUCAAUUGGGUGGUAAAGAAAAUAAUGAGAAAUGCUUUUAGUCUCAAAUAACAGCUAAUAGAAAAUCAACAAACAACUUCAGCAUACAUCCUUAAUGUGGCAGAGUUCUGUAAAACAUUCUGAACAGCACAAAAUAAAAAAAAACCUGUUUACUCCUGAGGAGUAAAACCUGAGAGCUGUUCUAAGCAAAUCAAUUGCCAACUAUCCACAUGCAACAUGAUUAACUUUGCAUUUGAGGUAGAGAUAUGCCAAAUUGCUUUCUAGAAAUGUACCUGCCUUACAUAAUACAGAUAAUCAGUAUUUCCAAAUCUAAAGUGCUUCUCCCUGAUUUGGAGUAUUGGUUCAUACUAUCAGUCUCAAUUAUCCAUUUAUCCAGACUGCUGCAGAAAUAAAGAGAGAAAAUGGAAGUUGGAGAAAUAUGUCACUUCCAAAACAAAGCUGAAUGCUGUAAAAUAUCAACUGCCCUGAACUCCCACUGAAGUCAAUAAUAAUAAU